ACGAAAAGUUCAGCUCAAACCAUCAUAGGCAAUCAAUGGGACCAUGAGGGCAAACCAGCACAGGCUGUAGAUUGCCUUUGCCAUCCUAGCUCCAGAGAUACCACUGGAUAAAAAGGAAAGUCCAGGAAGAACUGAAGAGCUAAUGCAAAAUUCAUGAGAAGCCACUGAGACAGUGAUGCUGAAACGUGUAGCUUAUGUCUUCUCACCAAUGGGAAGAGGAAAACGAUAAUGAAGAAGAAAAAUUUUGAAUAAACACUUCAUGAAAGAAGAUAUGCUGCAAGAUCGUAGCUUCUCUUGCUUCUGGUGUCUGCCCCCUGGUGGGUGAGUUUGGUCCUGGGGCUUGUGCAGACUUCCUGGUGGGAGGGACUGGUAUCUGCCUACUGGUGGGUGGAGUUGUGUCUUGUCCAUCGGGUGGGCAGGGCUGUGUCAAGGGGCGUGUUUGUUUAGAAGAGGCUGUGGGCUCAGGAAGAUUUUAGGUAGCCUGUCUGCUGAUGGGUGGGGCUGUGUUCCUGCCCAGUUGGUUGUUUGGUCUGAAGUGUCCCAGCACUGGAGCCUACAGGGCAUUGGUUCAGGCUAUGUCUUGGUAUCAAAAUGACAGUCUCCAGGAGAGCUCACGCCAAUGAGUACUCACUGGUACCUCCAUUACCAGUGUCCUUGUCCCCACAGUGAGCCACAGCCUCCCCCUGCCUCCCCAGGAGAGAGACCCUCUAAGAUCAGCAGGUAGGUCUGGCUCAGGCCCUUAUGAAGUUGCUGGUUUGUCGCCCUGGGUCCCAGUGUGCACGAGACCUUGUGUGUGCCCUCCAGGAGUGGAGUUUCUGUUUUCCCCAGCCCUGUGAUCAAACCCCACUGGCCUUCAAAGCCAGAUGCUCUGGGGGCUCCUCCUCCCACUGCCAGACCCCCAGGCUGGGGAGCCUGACAUUAGGCUUAGAAUUCUCACUCCUAUGGGAGAACCUCUAUAAUAUAAUUAUUUUCCAUUUCAUGGGUCACCCACCCACUGGGUAUGGGAUUUGAUUAUAUUGCAUAUGACCCC